AGGACGAACGCUGGCGGCGUGCUUAACACAUGCAAGUCGAACGGUAAGGCCCUUCGGGGUACACGAGUGGCGAACGGGUGAGUAACACGUGGGUGAUCUGCCCUGCACUUCGGGAUAAGCUUGGGAAACUGGGUCUAAAUACCGGAUAUGACUACGAAUCGCAUGGUUUGUGGUGGAAAGCUUUUGCGGUGUGGGAUGGGCCCGCGGCCUAUCAGCUUGUUGGUGGGGUGAUGGCCUACCAAGGCGACGACGGGUAGCCGGCCUGAGAGGGUGUCCGGCCACACUGGGACUGAGAUACGGCCCAGACUCCUACGGGAGGCAGCAGUGGGGAAUAUUGGACAAUGGGGGCAACCCUGAUCCAGCAAUACCGCGUGUGUGAAGAAGGCCUUCGGGUUGUAAAGCACUUUAGGCGGGGAAGAAGAUUGGUAUUUUAAGAGAUAACCAAUUUGACGGUACCGCAGAAUAAGCACCGGCUAACUCUGUGCCAGCAGUCGCGGUAA
rnacentral:rRNA from 1 species